rnacentral:lncRNA from 1 species
UUAGGCUACUAUACUAUUUAUAAUACCGGAGCUUUGGUACUAUAGUCUUGUUUUCAAUCUUAGGGUGUUCAAAUUAACAACCUACACAGUUAAAUAUGAUUUAGGGUAUAUAAAGUUCUUAGGAAUAAAAUUUUAAUUUUUUUCGACAUUGUUUACUUAGUAAAUAAUUUAUGUCAAAAUGGACAAUAAAAAUUGAAUAAUUUUUCAAAUUUGAGCAUAUGGCUUUUAAAUUCAAGAUCAAGAAUAUUAACCUUAAUCUAGAUAGUUUAAAGUAUUUUCUAUCAAAAUUUGAAAAAAUUUAGAUUAUUUUACACCGUUAAACUCCAAAUUUGCCAUAGUAGUCAUUGAAAAUUGUCGAAAAAAUAUAAAAUUUUAUUUCUAAAAACUUUAAAUACCCUAGAUCAGUUUUAACGGUGUGAAUCGUUGAUUUGAACACUCUGAAAUCGAAAACAGAACUAUAGUACCGGAGCCCCGGUACAGUAGAUAGUAUAGGAGACUAGCUAUAUAUAUAUAUAGAGUUUGACUGGCUACUAUCGGUAGUAAACUGCUCGGUUUACUACCGAUUUGUUUUUCAUGAUAGAGCUUCCAAAUAAACGAUCGACACCGAUGAACAUGAUUUAGACCAUUUAAAUUAUCUAGAAAUCAAAUUUCAUGAUUUUUUGGCAUCACUAACUGAACGAUCAAAGGGUCAUAAAAUCUAUAAUUUUAAUGAGUGAUAUGGUGCGUUUUCUCGUUUAACGGUAUAGAAGAGUUCAAAUCAACUAAAUUUUUGUUAAAAAAUUCUUUGAACUAUUUAAAAUAAGAUCUAGACUCUAGAUCUCAAAUAUAAAAAUUGUAUCAUUACUUUAUGAAGGAUAUUCAUUUCCAGCCAUUCAUUUUUCUAUUCACUUGAUGGACAAUAGAACAAUAUCGAAAAUGUAUGAAAUUUAAUUUCCAGAUAGUUUAAAUAGUUUAGAUCAUGUUUAACGGUGCCGAUCAUCAAUUUGGAAGCUCUAUCAUCGAAAACAAAUCGGUAGUAAACCGAGCCAUUUACUACGAUAGUAUUCUAGCAAAAC